GCAUUAGUGGUGUAGCGGUAACAUUGGGUCUUCCCAAGAGAUCAAAUCGCUUGAUUGGCCUAGCUCCGGGUUCGACUCCCGGCUGAUGCA